rnacentral:ncRNA from 1 species
CUCUCCCUGUCAGUCAACAGCUCCGCGCAGGCGGGUUAAAAGGGAAGACCGUAUGCCGUGCCACACGGCUCAGUCGGUCGCUGCUCCCGCAACUGUAGGCGGUCUGUCCGUGUCUUUUUGCCGCAAGGCACGCCACUGGUGCACAACCGGGAAGGCGGGAGACGGACGUUUAACCGUGAGCCAGGAGACCUGCUGUUGUCGUUCAGACCGC